rnacentral:piRNA from 1 species
UAUGAUGCAGGCCUUACUAGGUGCAG